rnacentral:rRNA from 1 species
AUUGAACGCUGGCGGCAUGCCUUACACAUGCAAGUCGAACGGUAACAGGUCUUCGGAUGCUGACGAGUGGCGAACGGGUGAGUAAUACAUCGGAACGUGCCUAGUAGUGGGGGAUAACUACUCGAAAGAGUGGCUAAUACCGCAUGAGAUCUACGGAUGAAAGCAGGGGAUCGCAAGACCUUGUGCUACUCGAUCGGCCGAUGGCAGAUUAGGUAGUUGGUGGGAUAAAAGCUUACCAAGCCGACGAUCUGUAGCUGGUCUGAGAGGACGAUGAGCCACACUGGGACUGAGACACGGCCCAGACUCCUACGGGAGGCAGCAGUGGGGAAUUUUGGACAAUGGGCGCAAGCCUGAUCCAGCAAUGCCGCGUGCAGGAUGAAGGCCUUCGGGUUGUAAACUGCUUUUGUACGGAACGAAAAGCCCCGGGUUAAUACCCUGGGGUCAUGACGGUACCGUAAGAAUAAGCACCGGCUAACUACGUGCCAGCAGCCGCCGUAA